GCGCCGCCUACUCGCUGCGGCUGCGGGCCGCGGGCCGAGGGGGGCGGUCCCCGCCCUCGGCGCCGCUGCUCGUCACCACGCUCGAAGACGCUCCGUCGGAAGCCCCGCGAGACGUUCGCGUCAUCAACGGGGGUGGAAAUGAAGUAACAGUCUCGUGGUCGCCGCCGGCGCCAGAGUCCUGGAACGGCGAGUUGCUGGGGUACGCGGUGCAGUGGCGGGCCGUGGGAGGCCCGGGGGAACUGCCGGG